GACGAACGCUGGCGGCGUGCUUAACACAUGCAAGUCGAACGCUGAAGCUCAGCUUUUGUUGGGUGGAUGAGUGGCGAACGGGUGAGUAACACGUGAGUAACCUGCCUCCUUCUUUGGGAUAACGCCCGGAAACGGGUGCUAAUACUGGAUAUUCACUGGUCUUCGCAUGGGGGUUGGUGGAAAGGGUUUUUCUGGUGGGGGAUGGGCUCGCGGCCUAUCAGCUUGUUGGUGGGGUGUUGGCCUACCAAGGGUUUGACGGGUAGCCGGCCUGAGCGGGUGACCGGUCACAUUGGGACUGAGAUACGGCCCAGACUCCUACGGGAGGCAGCAGUGGGGAAUAGUGCACAAUGGGCGCAAGCCUGAUGCAGCGACGCCGCGGGAGGGAUGGAGGCCUUCGGGUUGUGAACCUCUUUCGCUCAUGGUCAAGCCGCAACAAUGGUUGUGGUGAGGGUAGUGGGUAAAGAAGCGCCGGCUAACUACGUG
rnacentral:rRNA from 1 species